GCUAAGAAUCUUGCGCAAUGGGCGAAAGCCUGACGCAGCAAUUCCGCGUGGGGGACGAAGGCCCUCGGGUCGUAAACCCCUUUUGUGAGGGAAGAAGUUCUGACGGUACCUCACGAAUAAGACACGGCUAACUACGUGCCAGCAGCCGCGGUAAUACGUAGGUGUCGAGCGUUGUCCGGAUUUAUUGGGCGUAAAGAGCCCGCAGGCGGCUUGGUAAGUUCGAGGUGAAAUCUCCCGGCUCAACUGGGAGGGUGCCUCGAAAACUAUCAGGCUUGAGGCAGGGAGAGGGAUGUGGAAUUCCCGGUGUAGUGGUGAAAUGCGUAGAUAUCGGGAGGAACACCAGUGGCGAAGGCGGUAUCCUGGCCCUGUCCUGACGCUCAGGGGCGAAAGCGUGGGGAGCAAACC
rnacentral:rRNA from 1 species